UACGUAGGGUGCGAGCGUUAAUCGGAAUUACUGGGCGUAAAGCGUGCGCAGGCGGUUCGUUGUGUCGGCGGUGAAAGCCCCGGGCUCAACCUGGGAAUGGCCGUUGAAACUGGCGAACUGGAGUGUGGCAGAGGGGGGUGGAAUUCCGCGUGUAGCAGUGAAAUGCGUAGAGAUGCGGAGGAACACCGAUGGCGAAGGCAGCCCCCCUGGGCUAACACUGACGCUCAGGCGCGAAAGCUAGGGGAGCAAACGGG
rnacentral:rRNA from 1 species